UUAAUAUACCCUCCUUACUAUAGCUCACAUUAAAUAAUAAUGUGAGGAUCCCUGUAAGAAAGUGAAAGGAGGUUUAAAAUUCUUGAUCAUAUUGUAGAAAAGAAGAAUACGACGAAACUUAACAACAAUAUCAAAGGAAUAACUACGAAAUAUUUACCCUGUCGACAUGUUUCAGAUGAAUUGACAUGUAGUGAGUUCCAGUUUAUCACACUUUCAAGCAAACGUCAAACAAAUACCAUUUAAUAAAAUAAGCUGCCCUCUGUCAAAGCUUGCAUUGUAUGUCUUCGCGAAUUGGAUUAAGUGUUUUAUUCAUAAAUUGAGGGAAAACAUUAAAAAAACUCGGCUGUGUUAACACAAUUUAACAGUUUUAUAGCCACAGAUGUCACACAAGCCAAGCCGUGUGCAGAAAGUGAUACUUCAGCUAUGUUGAGCAAGAUGAACUAAGAAACCAGAUGAAAUACGCAAUGUUAACUAAUGAAAGUAGAUAUAGUUCGGCUCAUUCGCCCCUCGGAGUAGUUCUUUCGAACCACUUCGUUCCGGAUCGACAAAGAUCAAAUAAAUAUAAAUAAAAUAAAAAUAUAUAUAAUAUAAAUUCUAACGCAGCUCUGAAACAAAAUGGUGAAUUGAUGGAAUACUGGAAAUUUGUUGGACAAUUUGGUUGUAACAUAAUGUACACGCCAUAAUAUUCUUUUCAGAAUCUUGUAAUAUAAUUCUACUAAAUUGUUUCAUAUCUCAGUUCAAAUUUCUUCAAAUCGUAUUAUUUGGUCCAAGGAGGAACCCUACAGAUUGAUUUCGAUAUAGCUCCCGUAUCCGAUUUCAAUUGUAUUGUGCACCAAAUGUCCAAUAUUGUCGCUCCCACAUAUAUGUUUCAUCCGAUUUGAUAUUGAAGUCCACCUACAGGUUACUUACAUCAUAAAAAU